rnacentral:rRNA from 1 species
AUGAACGCUGGCGGCGUGCCUAAUACCUGCAAGUCGAGCGAACAGACGAGGAGCUUGCUCCUCUGACGUUAGCGGCGGACGGGUGAGUAACACGUGGAUAACCUACCUAUAAGACUGGGAUAACUUCGGGAAACCGGAGCUAAUACCGGAUAAUAUAUUGAACCGCAUGGUUCAAUAGUGAAAGACGGUUUUGCUGUCACUUAUAGAUGGAUCCGCGCCGCAUUAGCUAGUUGGUAAGGUAACGGCUUACCAAGGCAACGAUGCGUAGCCGACCUGAGAGGGUGAUCGGCCACACUGGAACUGAGACACGGUCCAGACUCCUACGGGAGGCAGCAGUAGGGAAUCGUCCGCAAUGGGCGAAAGCCUGACGGAGCAACGCCGCGUGAGUGAUGAAGGUCUUCGGAUCGUAAAACUCUGUUAUUAGGGAAGAACAAAUGUGUAAGUAACUAUGCACGUCUUGACGGUACCUAAUCAGAAAGCCACGGCUAACUACG